AUACGGAGGAUGCGAGCGUUAUCCGGAUUUAUUGGGUUUAAAGGGUGCGUAGGCGGUUUUUUAAGUCAGCGGUGAAACGCAAGGGCUCAACCCUUGACCUGCCGUUGAAACUGGAGGACUUGAAUGCGGAUGCUGUGGGAGGAAUGUGUGGUGUAGCGGUGAAAUGCAUAGAUAUCACACAGAACACCGAUUGCGAAGGCAUCUCACAAAUCCGUGAUUGACGCUGAGGCACGAAAGUGUGGGGAUCAAACAGGAUUAGAUACCCUGGUAGUCCACACUGUAAACGAUGAUGACUCGCUGUCGGCGAUAUACAGUCGGUGGCCAAGCGAAAGCGAUAAGUCAUCCACCUGGGGAGUACGACCGCAAGGUUGAAACUCAAAUGAAUUGGCGGGG
rnacentral:rRNA from 1 species